UACGGAGGGCGCAAGCGUUGCUCGGAAUCACUGGGCGUAAAGGGAGUGUAGGUGGCUUUGCAAGUCGGGCGUGAAAGCCCUCGGCUCAACCGAGGAAUUGCGCUCGAUACUACAAGGCUUGAGUUCGGUAGAGGGAAGCGGAAUUCCUGGUGUAGCGGUGAAAUGCGUUGAUAUCAGGAGGAACACCGGCGGCGAAGGCGGCUUCCUGGGCCGAUACUGACACUGAGACUCGAAAGCGUCGGGGAGCAAACCGG
rnacentral:misc_RNA from 1 species